CACUGGUCAAGAGUUGUUGCCGCUCUCCUGAUGAGUCCAAGGCAGGACAAAACCAGUG
rnacentral:hammerhead_ribozyme from 1 species